UCGGAUAUGGUGUAAUGGUUAACAUUACCGCCUCUCAGCGGCCAGUAUCUGGGUUCGCGGUAGCUCGGGGUUCGAUUCCCCGUAUCCGAA